rnacentral:miRNA from 1 species
AACUAUUGGGCACUGCACAGGAC